rnacentral:rRNA from 1 species
GACGAACGCUGGCGGCGUGCUUAACACAUGCAAGUCGAACGGUGAAGCGCCUUCCUUUUUGGUGGGUGUGGAUGAGUGGCGAACGGGUGAGUAACACGUGAGUAACCUGCCCCCUUCUUCUGGAUAACCGCAUGAAAGUGUGGCUAAUACGGGAUAUUCUGGGUCUGUCGCAUGAUGGGUCUGGGAAAGAUAUUGUUUCGGUGGGGGAUGGGCUCGCGGCCUAUCAGCUUGUUGGUGGGGUGAUGGCCUACCAAGGCGGUGACGGGUAGCCGGCCUGAGAGGGUGGACGGUCACACUGGGACGGAGACACGGCACAGACUCCUACGGGAGGCAGCAGUGGGGAAUAUUGCACAAUGGGCGCAAGCCUGAUGCAGCGACGCCGCGUGAGGGAUGGAGGCCUUCGGGUUGUGAACCUCUUUCGCCAGUGAAGCAGGCCUGCCUCGUUUGUGGGUGGGUUGACGGUAGCUGGAUAAGAAGCGCCGGCUAACUACGUG